CGUAGGGGGCAAGCGUUGUUCGGAAUUACUGGGCGUAAAGGGCGCGUAGGCGGCACAGCAAGUCGGGAGUGAAAGCCCGGGGCUCAACCCCGGAACUGCUUUCGAAACUGCUGAGCUAGAGUACAGAAGGGGCAACCGGAAUUCCCAGUGCAGCGGUGAAAUGCGUAGAUAUUGGGAAGAACACCUGAGGCGAAGGCGGGUUGCUGGGCUGAUACUGACGCUGAGGCGCGAAAGCCAGGGGAGCAAACGGGAUUAGAUACCCCGGUAGUCCUGGCCCUAAACGAUGGAUACUUGGUGUGUGGGGUUCUCUGAGUCCCCGCGUGCCGGAGCUAACGCGGUAAGUAUCCCGCCUGGGGAGUACGGUCGCAAGGCUG
rnacentral:rRNA from 1 species